CAUAGAAGCGAACCCAGUUCGCCCUACCGCUCCAUGUAUCCCUUCUCUCGCUCUCUCGAGGGCAUACGGUCGAACAUCUCCCGCGUGAGGAGAGCUCUGUAGUAAAGGGAGCCUCCCGCCUGAAGAGAGCUCAAUUAGGACGAGAGAAAGGAGACCAUCCAGCAUCGAUCCGAAGAGACCAUCAAGGUCAUCGCGCCCAGCAUCCGCAUCGCCAACCUCUCCUCCGAUGUCGCCCGCGCCCUCGGCCCCUACGUUGAGCACCGCCUCCACAAGAUCAUGCGGGUACAAUAGUGACCCUCUCUUAACCUCGAGGUGAUUCCCCUCGCGUUUGAUUCUUGGAAAGCUAAUGGUUUGCGGACUCUUCGUCUCGAUAGUGACCCUUUCUUAACCUCGAGGUGAUUCCCCUCGCGUUUGAUUCUCGGAAAGCUAAUGGUUUGCGGACUCUUCGUCUCGAGGGUUGCAAGAGGUGAUGCACCCCUCGAAGCGGACGGUCUUGACGGAAUGAUGCGGACCGCGCGCCCAGGUUGAGGAACGCUGAGGUGAGUUUCUCGCUAAUGCGAAUAGCUUGAUUUUUCCCAAAAAAUUGGAACUUUUGGGAUUUUAAAUGGGUUUAUUAUAGGGAUUUUAACGAAUCGUAUGUUUAUAAGCUUAAACGAUGAAAGGGAAAAAAAGUUCGUAGCUUUUUCAUUGGAUUAAUGGAAUAAAACGGUGAGUUGAAGAAGGGAAUGCCUUUCUUCGAUCGAGGAAAAUUGGAGCAGGAGGAGCCUCUGAAGUUCCCCAAGUGGAGUACCAACGAUUUGCUUCUCCACGUGAAGAACAACUGGCUCGAGUUCUCUCGUCCCUCGACCCCAGCACCAUCUGCAUCCAGAUAAGCGUGGAGGAUUUGGAAAGACAAGCAUCAUUGUGGACAAAUACGAAUAGUAGCAGGUUACUGCCAGAUUAUAAAAUCAGGAAAACUAGGUGGUGGUGUUGGUGGUGGAGGGGCACUACCAAGGCACGAGAAUGAAAGGAGGAUAUGGACGUAUCAUAUUUGCAGGUACUCUUCCAUCGAAUUAGCAAUUUUCAAAGUUUAUAUUUUAAGACAACACUUUCAAUAACCAUAAUAGUAGCUUUAAGUAUCUUAACAAAUAGUUUUUGCUCUUAGAGAUCGCCUAGAGGAAAAAAAAAGAAAAAAGAAAACCUAGAUAACCAUGAUUUAGAUUUUAGAAACCACAUAUUAGCGGCUAGGAUUUCCCUUUUAAGGGAGGAUUUAGAACAUAGAGUGUGUAACAGGGAAUUUUAGUUAAAGAGCGAAAUAUACGGUUGAUAAUUUUCAUGUGUGCCAAUUCGAUUAGGUUUUGGUUCUUCAUAUUGUAUCUAUGUGUAGUCCAUAAAUUUCAAAUUUAUAUUGCUUGGGCUUAAUCAUUUUCUAACUUAUUAGAGUUUGCCAAGUUUUUUCCUCACAAAUAGUAAAACCUAUUCAAUAUAUUACAAAUUUUAUUUAGAUAUUAUCUUUUAUAUAAAAUUUAAUCCAUAUUUUAUUUUUUUAAUAAUUUUAUAUUUAUUUAUUUUCUCUUUUCUGCACUGCAUGGUUUUGUGCUUAUACAUCUUAACCAUAUACUCAAGUUCAUUUUCUAUUUGAGUAAAUUUAGGGCAUAUUUGACUGAGGGAGUUGGACUUUAGAAUGGAAACAAAAAUGAGUGAUUCCCAUUCUAGCCAUUUGAUUAGAGGGAGUCUUAUUUCUAUAUCGAUUCUUGAGGAGAAUGGAAAUGUAUGAAUCCCUAAAAAAUUAAUCUCUACUCUCUAAUAGUAUUCAAAUCCCAUUUGGAUUCUGAUUCUAAUUUUGAUUAUGAAAUCCGAUGUCAUCUCUCUAAUGUAUCCGAAUUAAAGGGGAUCUGAAUUCUCAAACUUUUUUUAGUCAUGAUCCUCUCUUAUUUAAAAUUUAAGAAAAGAUCUAAUCUUCAAAUCAUGAUGAUUUAUGUAUUGCACAAUGAUUGAUGUUGCUGUUUAACUCUGGAGUUAAGGUCGAUAAGACCAAUGUGAAUAGCCUUAUCUCAAUGUGCUAUGCAGACUUAAAGAUGUAGUUGUUGCUACUCCAUGGUCGGCAGAUGAGCUUGAAAUAAAUUUUUCUUAUCAGAUUUUUCUGACGAGGGAUCCUUCAAUGCUUCAGUCAUUCAGAAUUCAAAGAAUAAUCAAAAGCAAAAAAAAGUUGAGAGCGAGUAUGAGUUAUCAAAUGACUUAUCUGAGGAUUUUUUGUUUGUCUUUAUUUAUAGAGGGAGUUCAAUAACUAUUAUUCAGAUGGAUGGGACGUGCAGUAAUUACAUAGCAAUGAUUAUAAUAGUGCUUAACUAAUCAAUACCCAUGUAAUCUCACAAUUGCAACCACUUUAAACAUGCGAUGAUGGUUGUAUGGGUGUAAUUGUCAUCGAUAUUUCCGGGCCGACUUGAUCAUGUUUUCAGAUUAUCCAUAUCCGAGGUACAUGAGGUCGGACAGUGUGGAGGUGGAUCUAAUUUGACUAUUGCCAUUGAAUAGAAUUUGAAUACUAUAGAAAAGUAGGAUUUUUUUGGGGGAUUGGAGCAUUUCUAUCUCCCUAGGAAUCCGAAUGAGAAUAUGGCUUCCCUUAAUCAAAUGGCUGGAAUGGGAGUCAAUCAUUUUCAUUCAUGAAUCUAACUCCCCCAACAAAACAUGCCCUUAUUUGGAUUCAAAAAUUGGUAUGGAUGGAUAUUAUUUUGUUUAGUCUCACCCUUAAUCUUAACUAUUCUUCUAAUUUCAUCGCAUGCUAUCUACUUCUCUAUGUUUUUGUUCCCCCAAAUCAAUUAUAAAUAUCGAAAAUGAUCACUUUUAGGAAUUUUAUGAUCAUCUAGUUUCGCUCCCUCUCUCUAUUUUUAGUUUUACUAAAGGUACAUUGCGUGUCUUUCGUCUUAGUCUUACUUAAUUUGAAAUCCUUUCAUUUUAGUGCUCUUCUGCAUAAUUUUAAUUUAUGAUUAACUCCAAUCUUAGUUUUAUUUAUUAAGAUUAUAUCAUUUGUAAAUAGUACACAACAAGAAAUAUCAUCGUGUAUAUUUUAAAUAACUUCAUCCAUAAUUAGCACAAAAAGAUAAAAAUCUUGAGCAAAUUUUUAGUAUAAAUCUAUUAUGAUUGGAUAUUCAGUGGUAUCAUCGCAGAUACUUUUUACACUAGUAACUGCUUGCUUACAUUAAUAUAACCAUUAGAAACUCAUAUCUUUGUUAUUACACACCAUAAGGCAUCUCUAGAAACUUUAUGAUAUGCUUUCUAUAUCAAUCUUUAAAUGAGAAAAAUAGUUUCCAUAGUCAGCCUUCUUAGCAUAAAACCAUGCUUGAUUUUUAAAUUAGUCCUCCGAUAUCUUUAUUUUACACCUUAAUCACCAUGCUUGAUCUCCCUCUUCCCUAGUUGUAUGGUACAAUUCAUAAGUUUAAUGCUAUGAUAGGUAGAAUAAUUUUAAAUAUUAUCUUUAUUCUUGUAAAUUGGUACUAUGGUGCUUUCCUUCAUUCAGUGAUCAUUUUUCUACUUUUAAUUUUUUUAUUAGAUGAAUUAAUUGACUAAGUUAUUUCCACAUCAACUAAUCUUUUCUUUUUCUUUUGCUAACCUUUUCUCGUUUUUUGUGUGCAUAACCUUGUUCUACCUUUGAUCCUCUUAAUGUAUAUUUAAGAUUUUUAUUCUCUUUUUGAAUUUAUCCUUAGUUAGUGUUACUUUUAUAUUUUUUAUGAAUAAUUUUAUAUUUAUUCUAUCUUUUCUUAUAUUAUCAUACAUCUAUUUUAACAUUCUCAUUUCAAUUAUGUUCAUUUUGUGCACAUUUUAUUUUUUAAUUAGUCAAAAUUUUAUACUAUGAAGCGUAGCUGGUCACAUUACUGUCAUAUAAAGUUUUCUCUUUGUUUUAGUGCAUAUCCUUUGAUCACAUGUUAUUCUGAUGGUACUUCUUUAUUUUAGUUUCCAUACUUUAUUUCUAUUAAUAACAUGCACUUCAAUCUCAUUUUUUUAUAAAAAUUGAUCAUAUAUACUAAAAAUGAUCACAUUAAGAAACUUUAUGAUCCUUAACUUUUAUUCUAUUUUCACUUUUAUUUUUAAUUUUACUAAAACUACAUUGCACGUUUUCUGUCUUAGUCCUACUCAGUACAAAAUUCUUUGAUUCUUCCAUAAUUUCACUUUACAAUUCAACUUUAGAUUAUCCACUAAAAUUAUAUCAUUGAUGAAUAGCAUGCGGUAAGGAAUAUUGUCUUGAAUAUACCCAGUAAAAAGGGAAGGAUUUUGAGUAUUUUUUUUUUUAUACAAAUGUAUUAUGAUUGGAUAACUCACACUAGUAACUAUUUAGUUACAUUAAUAUAAUUACGAUAAAAUCCUUUCUUUUCUGUGACUUACCAUGAGACUUCUCUGGAAACUUCAUAAUAUCAUUUCUCUAAAUCAAUAAAAAUUAUAUAAAAAUCUUAUUUUUUUUCUCUAUAUUUUUUUAUCAAACUUCAAAGGAGAAAAAUAGUUUCUAUAUUUGAUCUUUUUGGCAUAAAACUGAAUUGAUUCUUUGAUAUCUUUGUGUUCCCACUCAGCUUCUUCUAAAAUUCUAUGGUAUAGCUUAUGGGUUUAAUAAUAUGAUGAUUAGAAUAAUUUUGAACAUCAUUUUUUAGAUAGGUACUAUAAUGCUCUCCUUAAUUUGUUGGAUAUUUUGUUGAUUUUUAAAAUUUUAUUGAAUAAAUUAGUUAAUUAAGUUGGGUUUUUUUAUUGGGUGCAUAGACUUUUCCUUUUUUUUGUUUUUUUUUUAAAUCUUACAUAUUUUGUACGUCUAUUUAAGAUUUCUAUUCUCAGUAGCAUCGGUGACAAAAUCUAAUUAUAUACUCCACCACCGUAAUGAUGAUAUGGCCUAUAUGUGGUACCCGCAAUGCAUAGUCCAUAGACGGUAGUCGCCGGCUGUGUCGGUGGCGUGGGUAGGAGAAAAUCUGGCAUGCACCAGGUCCAAGUGAACCAGGGGUGCAUGCAUUCCGGAGGCCGUAGGAAGGCCGCUACGCGGAAUGGUGUCAUCGGGCGAUGCAACGCGGUAGAACCCCGCCACGCGAAUCAGACGCGGAAAUAACACGAAAGGACCGGGGCACAAGUAUACGUGCGACGGAUAAGAUCCCAUCGCUCUAUGUAUUCGGUACUCCGCGUUCUAACCACCGCGGACAAGGCGGAUUAGCAUUUUGCUUCUUGUCAAAUAAAUUUCCCGUCGGGGUAAUCUCCUCUGCUGAACAUAUUCGAUUCCGUUCUCUUGCUACGGCUCCUGUUCCUCCGAGCGCCGGUACCAAUUCCCCCUUCCCCGAGCUGAAGAAUGCGAAGGCAAAUAUCGACGAUGGCGUGCCCUCCGAUUAUAUCUCUCCCCCUCGAGCAGUUGGUGACGCGAGGCUCGCCACCAGCGACCAUGCAGCGGCGGCGGCGGCGGCGGCGGCGGCGGCGGUGACGUAGAAGACAGAAAAAAAAAAGGGAGGAAAGAGGAUAAGUUAUAUCCAACAGCAUAUGCACCAAGUGACGGUGCAUCACCCCAAUCAGCCGCUUGUUUUAGUGGCGGUGUUCCUUGAUUAAGCCCAGCUGGACCAGCCAAAUCCCACGGUGAAUAACGCGCCACAUCAACUCUUGCUUGUCGCGAAUUCCCGAUUGCGCGUUAUCCACCGUGCACGUGCUCCGAGAUUUGCGCUGGUCUACUUGGGCGUGGUCUAGGCAAUAAUUUCUCCGAGAUUAAACGUUGGACGAUUAGGUCCUCGCGAUUGUGCUUGGUGUGGUCGCCCGUCGUAUGGUACACGAUUGUGGAAUAUGUAAAAUUAUUGGUUGGACUAGGUCCGUAAGUUCAGCCGUGGACCAGUCCAACAAAAAGUUAAGUUGCAUGAGUGCGGCAGGUCUUGAUCGCGUGUUUUUUUAAUGCUUGUUGGUCGAUCGCUUAGCUGGUGGAUUUGAUCCAACCAAUAAUCUCUCGUCAAGUAUAAUUUCUCCCGUAAGAAGGCUAGAUUCUCCGUUCACGUGUCCCGCUCAAGAGUCGCUCGUCCGACCUUCGCUUAUCAAUCCAGUGCUUUUACUUUUUGGGGAUGGACUGUUAGUCGCACCAGCGUUCGGACACCCAACGGCACGCCCA